rnacentral:rRNA from 1 species
AGGACGAACGCUGGCGGCGUGCUUAACACAUGCAAGUCGAGCGGUAAGUCCCUUUCGGGGGUACACGAGCGGCGAACGGGUGAGUAACACGUGAGCAAUCUGCCCUUCACUUCGGGAUAAGCCUCGGAAACGGGGUCUAAUACCGGAUAUGACUGCGCCAUGCAUGUGGUGUGGUGGAAAGUUCUGGCGGUGAGGGAUGAGCUCGCGGCCUAUCAGCUCGUUGGUGGGGUAAUGGCCUACCAAGGCUUCGACGGGUA